UGAGAAGCUUGGAGUUCAGAGCCUGGGCACCUAACAGAGCAACUCCACGCUUUGCAUUGCAGUACACAGUGUAUAGUCAAGCCAGCACCAUGAGCAUUCCGGUUGCAAUGGAGACAGAUGGGCCUUUAUUUGAAGAUGUGCAGAUGCUGAGAAAGACAGUGAAGGACGAGGCUCAUCAGGCACAGAAAGAUCCGAAGAAGGACCGUCCUCUUGCACGCCGCAAGUCCGAGCUGCCUCAGGACCCCCACACCAAGAAAGCCUUGGAAGCUCACUGCAGGGCCGAUGAGCUGGCCUCCCAGGACGGCCGCUAGCCUCCGGGGCGCCGCGUCGGGGCUGGGCCCGCCAGUUCCUGCCUGGAUUCUGUAGAAAAUACAUACUUUCUGUGCCAUACCAAUCAGUUACACUCAAAGCUUUCUUGGACCCCGUUCCGUAGGCAAUAACGUGCGUCCGCCUCAGCGCGAGAUUAGGAGUUCAAACAAUGGUGACUU
rnacentral:sRNA from 1 species